GAUGAACGCUGGCGGCGUGCCUAAUACAUGCAAGUCGAGCGAACAGACGAGGAGCUUGCUCCUCUGACGUUAGCGGCGGACGGGUGAGUAACGCGUGGAUAACCUACCUAUAAGACUGGGAUAACUUCGGGAAACCGGAGCUAAUACCGGAUAAUAUAUUGAACCGCAUGGUUCAAUAGUGAAAGACGGUUUUGCUGUCACUUAUAGAUGGAUCCGCGCCGCAUUAGCUAGUUGGUAAGGUAACGGCUUACCAAGGCAACGAUGCGUAGCCGACCUGAGAGGGUGAUCGGCCACACUGGAACUGAGACACGGUCCAGACUCCUACGGGAGGCAGCAGUAGGGAAUCUUCCGCAACGGGCGAAAGCCUGACGGAGCAACGCCGCGUGAGUGAUGAAGGUCUUCGGAUCGUAAAACUCUGUUAUUAGGGAAGAACAAAUGUGUAAGUAACUAUGCACGUCUUGACGGUACCUAAUCAGAAAGCCACGGCUAACUACGUG
rnacentral:rRNA from 1 species